CAACUUGAGAGUUUGAUCCUGGCUCAGAGCGAACGCUGGCGGCAGGCUUAACACAUGCAAGUCGAGCGGGCGUAGCAAUACGUCAGCGGCAGACGGGUGAGUAACGCGUGGGAACGUACCUUUUGGUUCGGAACAACCCAGGGAAACUUGGGCUAAUACCGGAUAAGCCCUUACGGGGAAAGAUUUAUCGCCGAAAGAUCGGCCCGCGUCUGAUUAGCUAGUUGGUGAGGUAACGGCUCACCAAGGCGACGAUCAGUAGCUGGUCUGAGAGGAUGAUCAGCCACAUUGGGACUGAGACACGGCCCAAACUCCUACGGGAGGCAGCAGUGGGGAAUAUUGGACAAUGGGCGCAAGCCUGAUCCAGCCAUGCCGCGUGAGUGAUGAAGG
rnacentral:rRNA from 1 species